CCUACGGGCGGCAGCAGUGAGGAAUAUUGGUCAAUGGGCGUAAGCCUGAACCAGCCAAGUCGCGUGAGGGAUGAAGGUUCUAUGGAUCGUAAACCUCUUUUAUAAGGGAAUAAAGUGUGGGACGUGUCCUGUUUUGUAUGUACCUUAUGAAUAAGGAUCGGCUAACUCCGUGCCAGCAGCCGCGGUAAUACGGAGGAUCCGAGCGUUAUCCGGAUUUAUUGGGUUUAAAGGGUGCGUAGGCGGCCUUUUAAGUCAGCGGUGAAAGUCUGUGGCUCAACCAUGGAAUUGCCGUUGAAACUGGGAGGCUUGAGUACGUUUGAGGCAGGCGGAAUGCGUGGUGUAGCGGUGAAAUGCUUAGAUAUCACGCAGAACCCCGGUUGCGAAGGCAGCCUGCCAAGCCAUGACUGACGCUGAGGCACGAAAGCGUGGGGAUCAAACAGGAUUAGAUACCCUUGUAGUC
rnacentral:rRNA from 1 species